GCAUUGAGCCUUCAUGAUACUGUGUAUAAAGGUAGCAAGACAAAUUUCAAGAGCCCAAGUUGAUCCAACAUAUCUCACAUCAGAAUUAACGCCUUCAAACCUGCCAGAGCUGGUAAAUGUACAUCCUUUUAAGAAGAAGAAAUGUGGAGCUGCUCUGUCUCGUUUCUGACUUGAUACUCUAAUCACUGAAGUUGUAUAAGAGAACAGAACCACCUGUUUUGAAAGAAGACAUUAGCACUAUUGAAUUUUGUAGAGAGCGUAAGUCUAAAUCAAACGUGCCCUCAGACAACUUGCUAGCAUUUCAGGUCAAUGGGAUGAACACAUUCAUCUUUUCUCUACUACAACACACUUUUGCAUCUUCUGAGAAGUGAUGGACAGAAUUUACUACCAAAAACUGAGAAUUUUGCAUCAGAGAUCUAUCUGAGAAGUAAUGGCAAGACAUCCUUGUAACCACAUAGACAAGCUCUUCAAAUCCUAAAUGAUUCACUUCACAAACGUCUUCCUUGACUACUGGAUAAUUGCAUACCACUUAGAAAAGGCACUUCAAUGUAUCAACAAUGCUGGUGUUGACAUCUGCCAAGCAACAUCCAGAAAAUGCCAGCUUUUGCCCUUUCGGUCAGCAACUGAGUCCAAGGACAGCACUCUACAAAUGGCAGCAUUUGUGCCACUGAAUCUGAAGCCAAGGACCUGUUAAGAUAUGCCAUUUCUUUUGCUUACCUAUGACUUAAGAGCAUCUAUUUCUUCAUCUGCUGAAAAGAAACAGUAUAAGACAGAGCAUUAGCUAAAGUAUGUUCCUUUGCUCUGCACAGAAGCAUGUUUUAUAGAAUUAAUGGUGGAUGACACUAUAGACUGUGAUAGUGAAUGUGAAGUAUUUUUCUCACGUCAGUACAACCAUGAAAGAAAAAUAUUGUUAUGCUUUUAUAACCUGUCCAGUUAGUGUGUGUAUAAAUUGUAAUGGUUUACAAUACAUGGGCACCCACAAACACAUACAACCUAAAUGUCAUCUUCACAAUAUUAUCCCACAAUUUAAAAUACUUAUUUCCUCUGAAUUCCUCUUUAUUUGAUUUACCUCCUGCACAUUUCUUUUUAUGAUUAGCUGUAGCAAAAAUAAAUCUGGAGUAGUAAAGAAAACAUUUUGCUGCAGCAUAGUAAUUGUUUCUGACACCUUCUGUCUGAAGCGGAUGGACAAUCUCAAAGCAACUGAAGAAAGAGUUUAUAGGAGAGACUCUUCUCUAGCACACAAUGAAGACACUUCACUUUUCAAUGCUGAAAAUGAUGAUCCCAGAAGAUAUAGAUAAGGGAAUCAUUAACAGUAUAGUGAAAAGAAUGCUUACUUCACUUUAUUUCUGGUAUCUAACUCUUGUCCAUGUUCACUGAAAAUAAAUUCUAGUGAAAAUAUUACCAAAUAUAAUCAAAAUGUCAUUGCAUGCUCGUACUAAUGAUUAUCCCAUUGUUUUGAAAAUAUUUGAACACAAAUCCACAUUAUUGGCUUA
rnacentral:lncRNA from 13 species